rnacentral:rRNA from 1 species
ACGGGGUGCAGCAGGCGCGAAACCUCCGCAAUGUGAGAAAUCGCGACGGGGGGAUCCCAAGUGCCAUUCUUAACGGGAUGGCUUUUCAUUAGUGUAAAGAGCUUUUGGAAUAAGGGCUGGGCAAGACCGGUGCCAGCCGCCGCGGUAACACCGGCAGCUCUAGUGGUAGCAGUUUUUAUUGGGCCUAAAGCGUCCGUAGCCGGUUUAAUAAGUCUCUGGUGAAAUCCUGUAGCUUAACUGUGGGAAUUGCUGGAGAUACUACUAGACUUGAGACCGGGAGAGGUUAGAGGUACUCCCAGGGUAGAGGUGAAAUUCUGUAAUCCUGGGAGGACCGCCUGUUGCGAAGGCGUCUAACUGGAACGGUUCUGACGGUGAGGGACGAAAGUUAGGGGCGCGAACCGGAUUAGAUACCCGGGUAGUCCUAACUGUAAACGAUGCGGACUUGGUGUUGGGGUGGCUUUGAGCUGUUCCAGUGCCGAAGGGAAGCUGUUAAGUUCCGCCGCCUGGGGAAGUACGGUCGCAAGACUGAAAACUCAAAAGGAAUUGGCGGGGGAGCAC